rnacentral:tRNA from 1 species
UCCCUGGUGGCUCAGAUGGUAAAGCAUCUGCCUGCAAUGCAGGAGAUCUGGGUUCAAUCCCUGGGAUGGGAA